AAAUUGAAGAGUUUGAUCAUGGCUCAGAUUGAACGCUGGCGGCAGGCCUAACACAUGCAAGUCGAGCGGCAGCGGGAAAGUAGCUUGCUACUUUUGCCGGCGAGCGGCGGACGGGUGAGUAAUGCCUGGGGAUCUGCCCAGUCGAGGGGGAUAACUACUGGAAACGGUAGCUAAUACCGCAUACGCCCUACGGGGGAAAGCAGGGGACCUUCGGGCCUUGCGCGAUUGGAUGAACCCAGGUGGGAUUAGCUAGUUGGUGAGGUAACGGCUCACCAAGGCGACGAUCCCUAGCUGGUCUGAGAGGAUGAUCAGCCACACUGGAACUGAGACACGGUCCAGACUCCUACGGGAGGCAGCAGUGGGGAAUAUUGCACAAUGGGGGAAACCCUGAUG
rnacentral:rRNA from 1 species